GGUAAAAUGGCUGAGAUUAGGCAAUAAAUUGUAAAUUUAUGACGAAAAUAUAUUUUCUUUUACCA
rnacentral:tRNA from 1 species